UUCCCUUCCAGUUAGGGCAGGCCGCAAGUUACAAGGCGGAAAUGGAGGAAAUGGAGCACAGCGGUUUGUAGCUCUCACGUGGUUGCUUAUCUGCUGACCCACCUUAAUGAUGUGGAGCCACCUUACAGCUGCCCCGGCAACUUCUCUACCUUUCCAAGAAUCCUCUCUCAGCUUCUCCAACCCUGAAGCCAGGCGUAUGUUUAACUCCCACGUGCAGAGCACCAGCUUCACCUACAGGAGGAUGCCCAUGCCAGUGUGGUCAGAGAUGCCCACACCUCAGAGAGAGCCCUCCCCUGGACUGGAGGUAUAAGGACAUGAGCCAGGUAGCCACACCUAUGGAAAGUCCACCGGUUCAUUUUGAGAAUUCGUGUUAGUAUUCAUGCAGCAGCUGGGGCCUUACCUGGGAAGAGAUAAAUAGCCCCCAAGCAUUUGCCUUGUAAAACCUUGCCAACAACCCAUCAUUAAAACUCAAGGAGCCUGUAUUUAUCUAUCAAUGAACACAAAUACACUGCAUUAAAAUGAACUCUUGCUAUACGCCUCACCAAACUCCAAGUUCUCUGAGGUGAGGACUGAAUCUUUCUUGUUCACCACUUUCCCUCCUUCACCAAGUUCAAGGUCAGACCCGGAGUAGGUAGGCAUGUUCCUGGGUAAGUAAUGGAAUUGCACGCUUGCUUGUAUUUUACCAGUGGACUUGGGGAAAUGUUGCCUCUCAGGGGAGAUGAAGGGGCAUGAAGAGUGACAGAAAAGAUGUUUUGGUUUUCUGGCCUUCCUGAAGGCACAGCUGUUAGGCUGGGCCAAGCUGCCUGGUUGUGAAUCACACAGAAUUUCGGGGCUCCAGGAUUAAUUUAUAAUUGUGUACAAUUGUGCAGUUGUGAGGUUCAGUAGUGAUCAAUUCAAGGAGUGAAAACAUAAAGGAAACAAAUGGCUCCAGAGGCAUACACUGAGAUAAAACAGUGAAGAAAAAAAGAAGACAUCACCUGGAAAGUGAUCAACAGUAGUUGAAGCUGUCGUAAUGGCUUUUGCCGCUGGCUGGGAAAUCCUUGCAGAUUCAGUCAGUCGCUUGGAACACUCAGAUGCCUCCCUUUUCUCUCGGCAUGUGGAGCCACUGUCACUAUAUUGAUAGGUAGUGAAUUGCUUUCUAUUGCUGCUGUAACAAAUCACUGCAUACUUGGUGGCUUAAACAAUGCACACACAUUCUCUCAUAGCUCUAUAGGUCAAAAGUCCAACGUGCGUCUUCUAGGCUAAAAUUCGGGGCUGAGUCCUGUCUAGAGGCUCUAGAUGGAAAUCCAUUUCUUUGGCUUUUCCACCUUCUAGAAGCCUGCCCACGUUCCUUGGCUCGUGGCCCCCUUCUUCCAUCCUCAAUGUCAGCAAGAACAGAUGGAGUGCUUCUCAUAUUGUUAUAUCCCUGCAUAUGUGCAGCCUGUGAAGUUUCUCUGCUCUUAAGAAUUCAUAUGGAUGCAUUGGAUAUACCUGCAUAAUUCAAGAAAACCACUUCAUCUCAAGGUCCUUAACUGUAAUCCUGUGUGCACAGUUUCUUUUGCCAUGUAAAGCAACACAGUCCCAAGUUCUGAGGAUGGGGGGUGGACAUCUUUGGGGUCCGUCAUUCUGCCACUACAGUUAGUUCCAUGCCUUUUUAAAACCUCAUUGAGGCUGUCCCCAGAUACAUCAUUGGAAACACCCUCGUGUGCUUGGCACAGUUUAGGGGGUGAUAGGGAGGUACACGCUGCCUAUAUUCUCUUUCCAUGACAGGGAACCCAUCCCUCCAGCUCCUGGGAAUGAUCAUGGUGACUUCAUGCAGCUUGGUCUUUUUUUGGGAAUUGUCAUCUGUUGAAGAUCAUCAUCACACGAAAAGUCACUGUGCCUUCUGAGGGAGAGCCUGCGUCUAGUGACUUGCCAUUGGGGGUGUUACGAAAGCCCAGCUCCUCAGCCUUAAUGUGGGGGCAACUCUGAGGUCAUUCGAGCUUCAGCCCCACCCCUGCCGUGAUUCACUGUGACUUCAUUUCAGUUCAGUGUCCCCUUGUACCCAAAUCCACUGCCUUCAUUUCCCUACAGGGGUUGAUCCCAGGAACACUUCCCAGUAAACCGGCUGCAAAUCACCCGUUCAGAGCUGGUUUCCUGGGAACCAUCUGCAAUAUACCCUGAUAGAAGAUGUGUGGAUUCCUGCAAGCAUUUGGAGCUUUCCUAAAUCUGAAUACAAAUAGGAAUGAAAAGAGCUUUCAACAGUGCACUCUCAUCAAUGAAUUGAAGAUUGCCUCCCGGGUUUGCACCCACUAACAUCUUAAUACCCAUGCAUCUUAAAUGCGGUCAAUCCUCAUUAUUUGCAGAAACGCUGCUUGCACACUUGUCAUCUCCCUGAAAUUUGUUUGUAACCUCCAAGCCAGGGCUCCCAGCACUUUCAGGCUUUCCAGAUAUGUGCAGAGUGAUGAGAACUUUGAGUUGCCUGACACAGACAUUCCCAGCUGAGGUUGAACAAGGUGACAUUCUGCCUUCGUGUUCCAGCUCUCGCACUGAAAACAAAUGUCCUUUUCAUGGUGUAUUUAGUUUAGUUGUUUUUUGGUUUUGGUUUUGGGUUUUUUUUUGCACAUUUUGUCUUUUCUUUUUGUUGGUGAUUUUGCUGUUUAAAGUGGCCCCCAAGCACAGUGCUGAAAUACUGUCUAGUGUUCCUAUGCUACGGAGAAGCCUGUGAUGUGCCUCUCGGAGAAAAUACUUGUGUUAGAUGAGCUUCCCUCAGGCAGAGUUAUAGUGCUAUUGGCUGUGAUUACUGAAGUAACAACAUAUAUUGAAUAAUGUCUUUAAACAGAAACAUACAUAAAGCAAGUUUAUGUGUUAAUCGACUGAUGAAAGUGUUAUGACCAGAGGCAUAUAGGAACUUAGCCCGUAUUUCCCCAAGAAGUAAUGGUUCAGUAUUUGCUAAUUCAGUGUUCACGGUGACUUUAUAGAACAUAAUCACCAUGAAUAAUAAGAAUCAGGGGCG